AUGGACGCGCGAAUCUCUACAACCACCAAAACUCAGCCGCUUAUAAAAAAUGUCUCCAACUGUGAGGUCAAGUCUGUAGUGCAGUUUUUGUGCCGAAAGGGAGAGUCAAUAGCUCAGAUUCAUAAAGAAAUUGUGCAUGUUUAUGGUGCUGCUGCAAUUCGUGAACGGGAUAUUGUUAAGUGGUGUGCUGAGUUAAAGUUAGAAAGCAAACUCCGAAGUCAACCGGCAAAGUUAAAAAACGCUGGCAUCGAAAAGACCACUCCAAGUUUGAGUUUAGACAACUCUCAUCCCACACCGUCCCCUUUCGGUCUCGGACAAGACUUCAUCACUUCAACACCGAUCGUAUCAAGCACCAAAGGCGAGGAAUCGUCAACUUCUCAUUGUCAGCUUUCGACGUCGAACCUUCAGAAUACCAGAUGGGCGGAUCUACCAACCGUAAUCACACUUCCGGCCGACGAACGCCCUCCGUUAACACAAGUGACCCGUGUCUUGUGGCCGAUAGAGUUGACCCAGUCGCCAUUUUCUUUACCAGGAGAAAAUGCAAUCGUGGGUGGUGACUCUUUUUCUUGUGGCAAUGGUCCAAGGCGGACCUUUGGGGUCUAUACUUCUGGAAAGUCAAGUAAAAAUCGAGAAGCCUCAGAUAGGAAGCCAACCGCUGAAGAUGGUCGAUUUUGAGAAAGUGGAUAAAACUGAUGACGUGGACCUCCUCAUCAAGUGUCACAAGGAGUAUAUUCAAACUUGCUGUGAGGGAGAUCACUAUAAGUAAGUUCUUGAAUUUGUUAUCGAUGUUACAGACAUGUGAAUCGGUCUGUUACAAAAGGAUUCCAGCGCCAGAUAUAAAAACACGAAAAAAACAGUAGAAACUGUAUGAACCAACCCGUUUUAAAUUGCAGAUUAAGUAAUAAUGUGAAUAAUUAAUUCAUCGCUUUAAUAUUUUAGAGCUCUAUGAUUUAUAAGGGGUCAAAUAAAACGGUCAUUACCAUUUUUCUCGAAUUCUCAGUUUUGGCGCUUGAGCCCUUUUGUAACAGACCGAUUCAAAUGCGAAAACCUGGGCCGAGUAGAUCAUAAUGUGACCAAAUAUUGUGGUUAAAUCAUACAACAAACAUAAUUUUUUCCUUAUAAUUUAUGUAAAUAUGUAUAAGGUUCCAUCGACAAUAUUUAAGGGGCCCUUGUAAAAUCCUGGGGGAAAGGUGGAAAGUACGGUAAUUACCAAUUUCAAAGGGUCAAGUAUUUUACAGACAUUGGAAGGUCCUAUUCAUGACGUUGCUUUCCUGUCAUAAUUCAUUUUUUUUUUUUUUUAAGACAAAUUAAUCAUUUUUUUAAAAGAAAAUCUAUGUGAUUUGCCAUACUUCAUGUAAGCUUUGUUUUAAAAACAGAAUGGAAAACUAUAAAAAAUAUCAAGCAAUCAGCUAAUCCCGAGAUCAGGUGGGAUUUAAGUAAUGCUCGGCCGAAUCAGAGACAAGAGACCCUCCACUGGCCUCCUAGCGACAGGUGGAAACUUUUACUUUCGGGGUUUCAACAAUUCCUCAUGGACAAUUAUUCGGGACCAACAGUCAUCACCCUAAUUUCGGCUGUUGACCUACCUACAUGGUCGAUGAUGAGCUUCGGGUGACGUCAUGAGCCAAACAAGUUUCCCAAACAUCGCGAAGCGCACGACACGCCACUGGUGGCUCAGUUGCUCAACUAUUAUAUCUUAGAUCACUCAUCUGUCAAUGCGCAACGUGUCUACACAGUACACAUACAUCGUCCGUGACCGUAAUAAAACGUAUGAAGUAUAAGAAAGAAAGAAAAAUAGAAAUAUUUAGGUGUUUGCAACGUUGCUAAGAACGCACAACCAUCCCUUGUUUUUAAAAAAGACAGGUGCACUCUGCUGUGAAAUUGUUUCUCGUCGGUUUCUGCAACCCUUAGAAAACUUUAGAGAUGGGACUGUGAGUAAAGUACAUUUCCUUUCCGCCACGAUAAAAAAUGAUUUGCAAAGCACUAAUAAAAUUUAAGUAACUUUCAGUGCCCAUUUAACCAUAGUUCUUGGUUUAACUUCUUUUAUACAACCGAACCUUGUCAGGUUGAAUAUUUUUCUUUAUAUUUGUAUCUGAAUGUUGACCCUCCCUCCACUCUCAUAAGUCCACUUUCACAGCUUCACAUACGUGUUCGAUUUUAUUUUCCAGGGUACCAAUGCAUAUCCACACCGAAAAAGGCGUUGAAAAGUGCUCGGUUUAUGCUGAAUGUUGCAGGCUGUAG
rnacentral:lncRNA from 1 species